UACGUAGGGGGCUAGCGUUGUCCGGAAUCAUUGGGCGUAAAGCGCGUGUAGGCGGUCCGGUAAGUCCGCUGUGAAAGCCAGGGGCUCAACCCUUGGAUGCCGGUGGAUACUGUCGGGCUUGAGUACGGAAGAGGCGAGUGGAAUUCCUGGUGUAGCGGUGAAAUGCGCAGAUAUCAGGAGGAACACCAAUUGCGAAGGCGGCUCACUGGCUCGGUACUGACGCUGAGGUGCGAAAGCGUGGGGAGCAAACAGG
rnacentral:rRNA from 1 species